CUACACUCCUGCGGGAGGCAGCAGUGGGGAAUUUUGGACAAUGGGCGAAAGCCUGAUCCAGCAAUGCCGCGUGAGUGAAGAAGGCCUUCGGGUUGUAAAGCUCUUUUGUCAGGGAAGAAACGGUGAGAGCUAAUAUCUUUUGCUAAUGACGGUACCUGAAGAAUAAGCACCGGCUAACUACGUGCCAGCAGCCGCGGUAAUACGUAGGGUGCAAGCGUUAAUCGGAAUUACUGGGCGUAAAGCGUGCGCAGGCGGUUUUGUAAGUCUGAUGUGAAAUCCCCGGGCUCAACCUGGGAAUUGCAUUGGAGACUGCAAGGCUAGAAUCUGGCAGAGGGGGGUAGAAUUCCACGUGUAGCAGUGAAAUGCGUAGAUAUGUGGAGGAACACCGAUGGCGAAGGCAGCCCCCUGGGUCAAGAUUGACGCUCAUGCACGAAAGCGUGGGGAGCAAACAGGAUUAGAAACCCUAGUAGUCCCAUG
rnacentral:rRNA from 1 species